GAUGAACGCUGGCGGCGUGCCUAAUACAUGCAAGUCGAGCGAAUGGGUUAAGAGCUUGCUCUUAUGAAGUUAGCGGCGGACGGGUGAGUAACACGUGGGUAACCUGCCCAUAAGACUGGGAUAACUCCGGGAAACCGGGGCUAAUACCGGAUAACAUUUUGAACCGCAUGGUUCGAAAUUGAAAGGCGGCUUCGGCUGUCACUUAUGGAUGGACCCGCGUCGCAUUAGCUAGUUGGUGAGGUAACGGCUCACCAAGGCAACGAUGCGUAGCCGACCUGAGAGGUUGAUCGGCCACACUGGGACUGAGACACGGCCCAGAGUCCUACAGGAGGUAGCAGUAGGGAAUCUUCCGCAAUGGACGAAAGUCUGACGGAGCAACGCCGCGUGAGUGAUGAAGGCUUUCGGGUCGUAAAACUCUGUUGUUAGGGAAGAACAAGUGCUAGUUGAAUAAGCUGGCACCUUGACGGUACCUAACCAGAAAGCCACGGCUAACUACGUGCCAGCGGCCGCAGUAA
rnacentral:rRNA from 1 species